UACGGAGGGGGCGAGCGUUAUUCGGAAUUAUUGGGCGUAAAGGGCGCGUAGGCGGCGCGAUAAGUCAAAGGUGAAAUCCCUCGGCUCAACUGAGGAACUGCCUUUGAAACUGUCGUGCUUGAGGCCGGGAGGGGGUAGCGGAAUUCCCAGUGUAGCGGUGAAAUGCGUAGAUAUCAAGAGGAACACCUGAGGUGAAGACGGGUUGCUGGGCUGACACUGACGCUGAGGCGCGAAAGCUAGGGUAGCAAACGGG
rnacentral:rRNA from 1 species